rnacentral:misc_RNA from 1 species
AUCAAAAGCUUUAAGGAAAGCUCUUUGUUUUUUGAAAUGAUGCUUUUAUGAGAUAGAGCUUUUUUAGAUAAUGCUUUUUUAGAUAAUGCUGGGGAAGGUUUUCCGGUUUAUCUCGGAGGGCUUGUAGCUCAGUUGGUUAGAGCGCGCGCUUGAUAAGCGUGAGGUCGGAGGUUCAAGUCCUCCCAGGCCCACCAAUUUACCUAUCCUUUUGCCUUUAUCCGUUUAUUUGCCGAUUUAUCGGUCUAUUGAAUUUAAGUGUUGGUAGCAGUUUUUAUAAUGAUGAGAAAUCAUGCUUAUAAAAGAACUCCUUAUAAAAGGCUUGUUUUUAAAAUGUGACGCUUAUCCAUUUCGCUUAGGCAAGAGAAACUUCAAGCGGUUCAAAUGCAAAAGGCUUUAAAUUUUGCAAAACACUUUGAAUUUUAAAGUGAUCCAAGUUCGUGAUCUCGAAUUUAAAAGUUUCGAAUGCUUUAUCCUUUUUUUGGGGGCCGUAGCUCAG